UGGCGGACGGGUGAGUAACGCGUGGGUAGCCUGCCUUACACAGGGGGAUAACACCUGGAAACAGGUGCUAAUACCGCAUAAGCGCACAGGGCCGCAUGGCCCGGUGUGAAAAACUCCGGUGGUGUAAGAUGGACCCGCGUCUGAUUAGCUUGUUGGCGGGGUAGGGGCCCACCAAGGCGACGAUCAGUAGCCGGCCUGAGAGGGUGGACGGCCACAUUGGGACUGAGACACGGCCCAAACUCCUACGGAAGGCAGCAG
rnacentral:rRNA from 1 species